rnacentral:rRNA from 1 species
CCUACGGGAGGCAGCAGUGGGGAAUAUUGGGCAAUGGGCGCAAGCCUGACCCAGCAACGCCGCGUGAAGGAAGAAGGCUUUCGGGUUGUAAACUUCUUUUCUGAGGGACGAAGAAAGUGACGGUCCUUCAGGAAUAAGCCCUGGCUAACACAGUGCCAGCAGCCGCGGUAAUACGUAGGUGGCAAGCGUUAUCCGGAUUUAUUGGGUGUAAAGGGCGUGUACGCGGGAAAGCUAGUCAGAUGUGAAAACUCAGGGUUCAACCCAGAGCCUGCAUUUGAAACUGUUGUUCUUGAGUGCUGGAGAGGCAAUCGGAAUUCCGAGUGUAGCGGUGAAAUGCGUAGAUAUACGGAGGAACACCAGUGGCGAAGGCGGAUUGCUGGACAGUAACUGACGCUGAGGCGCGAAAGCGUGGGGAGCAAACAGGAUUAGAUACCCUUGUAGUC